UACCAGCACCCCGAGUGGUCGGGACGAUUAUUGGGCCUAAAGCAUCCGUAGCCGGUCCUACAAGUCUUCCGUUAAAUCCACCUGCUUAACAGAUGGGCUGCGGAAGAUACUAUAGGGCUAGGAGGCGGGAGAGACAAGCGGUACUCAGUGGGUAGGGGUAAAAUCCUCUGAUCCAUUGAAGACCACCAGUGGCGAAGGCGGCUUGCCAGAACGCGCUCGACGGUGAGGGAUGAAAGCUGGGGGAGCAAACCGGG
rnacentral:rRNA from 1 species